rnacentral:rRNA from 1 species
GAAAGUAAGCAAGGGCAGACGGUGGAUGCCUUGGCUCUCGGAGGCGAUGAAGGACGUGAUAAGCUGCGAUAAGCUUGGGGUAGGUGCAAAUAACCUUUGAUCCCAAGAUUUCCGAAUGGGGCAACCCGGCUGGUAGAAGGCCAGUCAUUCCGUAAGGAAGGCGAACGUGGGGAACUGAAACAUCUAAGUACCCAUAGGAGAAGAAAACAAAAGUGAUUCCGCAAGUAGUGGCGAGCGAACGCGGAACAGCCCAAACCGAUGAUGUUUAGGCAUUGUCGGGGUAGUAGGACCACGUUGUGGCAAGAGAUUAAGGAAGUAGAACGUUUUGGAACAAACGGCCGUAGACGGUGAAAGCCCGGUAUACGACUCUUUAACGAAGCCUAGUGGAAUCCUGAGUAGCGCGGAGCACGAGAAAUUCUGUGUGAAUCAGCGGGGCCCAUCCCGUAAGGCUAAAUACUCCCGAGAGACCGAUAGCGAACCAGUACUGUGAAGGAAAGGUGAAAAGCACCUCGAACAGAGGAGUGAAAUAGUCCCUGAAACCGUCUGCCUACAAGCGGUCGGAGCAACGUAAGUUGUGACGGCGUGCCUUUUGCAUAAUGAACCUACGAGUUACUUUCUCCGGCAAGGUUAAGGGCUUCAGGCCCGGAGCCGAAGCGAAAGCGAGUCUUAAUAGGGCGUGAUAGUCGGAGUGAGUAGACGCGAAACCAAGUGAUCUACCCUUGGUCAGGAUGAAGGUUGGGUAACACCAACUGGAGGUCCGAAUGGGUAUACGUUGAAAAGUGUUCCAAUGAACUGAGGGUAGGGGUGAAAGGCUAAUCAAACUUGGAGAUAGCUCGUACUCCCCGAAAUGCAUUUAGGUGCAGCCUUUAUUUAGUAUAGCAUGAGGUAGAGCGACUGAUUGGAUGCGAGGGCUUCACCGCCUAUCAAGUCCAGAUAAACUCCGAAUGCGUGCUAUAUAUUGAUAAGGAGUGAGGGCGCGGGUGCUAAGGUCCGUGUCCGAGAGGAGAAGAAUCCAGACCAUCAGCUAAGGUCCCCAAAUAACAGUUAAGUUGAACUAACGAAGUCGGACUGCAGAGACAGCUAGGAUGUUGGCUUGGAAGCAGCCAUUCAUUUAAAGAGUGCGUAACAGCUCACUAGUCGAGGAGUCCGGCGUGGAUAAUACUCGGGCAUAAACUGUUUACCGAAGCUAUGGAUGUGUAAACACAUGGUAGGGGAGCAUUCCAACGGCGUCGAAGGUGAAGGAUGACCUUUGCUGGAGCUUUUGGAAACGCAAAUGUAGGUAUAAGUAACGAUAAAGGAGGUGAGAAACCUCCUCGCCGAAAGACUAAGGUUUCCUGAUCAACGCUAAUCGGAUCAGGGUAAGUCGGGACCUAAGGUUAAGCCGAACGGCGAUACCGAUGGAAGAAUGGUUUAAUAUUCCCAUACUACUUUAUGGAGCGAUGUGGAGACGGAGAAGUGACAGUCCUGCCAUCUGACGGAAUAGGUGGUUGAAGAGUGUAGAUGUAGAUUCCUGUAGGCAAAUCCGCAGGGAGAGUCGACCUUGACAGUAUGCCGCGUGCUUGCACAAGGCAAAAUGGACGUAAUCAGGCUCCCAAGAAAAUCCGCUAAGCAUAUUCAUAAAGUACCCGUACCGUAAACGGACACACGUAGUUGGGUUGAAAAUACUGAGGCGCUCGAGUGAUUCACGGUUAAGGAACUAGGCAAAUUGACCCUGUAACUUCGGGAUAAAGGGUCCCUACUGAGAGGUAGGGCGCAGAGAAUAGGUCCAGGCAACUGUUUAACAAAAACACAUGGCUGUGCGAAAUAGAAAUAUGAAGUAUACAGCCUGACACCUGCCCGGUGCUGGAAGGUUAAGAGGAGAGCUCAUCGCAAGAGAAGGCUUGAAUUGAAGCCCCAGUAAACGGCGGCCGUAACUAUAACGGUCCUAAGGUAGCGAAAUUCCUUGUCGGGUAAGUUC